rnacentral:rRNA from 1 species
UGGGGAAUAUUGGACAAUGGGCGAAAGCCUGAUCCAGCCAUGCCGCGUGUGUGAAGAAGGUCUUCGGAUUGUAAAGCACUUUAAGUUGGGAGGAAGGGCAUUAACCUAAUACGUUAGUGUUUUGACGUUACCGACAGAAUAAGCACCGGCUAACUCUGUGCCAGCAGCCGCGGUAAUACAGAGGGUGCAAGCGUUAAUCGGAAUUACUGGGCGUAAAGCGCGCGUAGGUGGUUUGUUAAGUUGGAUGUGAAAGCCCCGGGCUCGACCUGGGAACUGCAUCCAAAACUGGCAAGCUAGAGUACGGUAGAGGGUGGUGGAAUUUCCUGUGUAGCGGUGAAAUGCGUAGAUAUAGGAAGGAACACCAGUGGCGAAGGCGACCACCUGGACUGAUACUGACACUGAGGUGCGAAAGCGUGGGGAGCAAACA